GUAGCAAGCCAAGCAGGACACCCUGGUAGGCGCCCUAUUCUCAGGGCCCACUAGUGGUCAUCUAACACUAUUAGUGGGUAAUUUGGGUGGGGUAAGCCUAUGGUUAGUCCCUUACACGGGGCAAGGCCACGACAGCCGGUUGGUAGGCCAAGGGGGCAAUGGGCCGAGAUCGGCAAUGGAAGCUCUGGGCUAUGGUGAUGUCUAGGGUGGGCAGUGGCGCUUAACUAGGACCCCCGCUGGAAACCCCAGAACUAGUUAAAGCGGCCCGAGAGGACGGACGCGGUGGUCGGUUGGUUAUAGGGGUAAAUGUAACUAGCUUAAGGUGCAUCCUGCGUGGAGUAG
rnacentral:sRNA from 1 species